GGCCCAGAUUUUUGAUCUAGUUGUGCCCCCUCUGCUUUGCCCUCUCCCAAUUUACCAACCUGAAUUACUCAUCCAUCUAAGUAAGUCAACAUUUCAACAUUUUUAAAAGAAAAGACUUGAAAACCCAAGGUGUAGAAACUGAUAAAUUCCAAUCAGAAACCUACAGAACCUUAGGGGCUUGGGGGUAAAGUCGAGGACAGCAAAGGGGACCUCGGAGGGAGGGGCCGUGUUGGUCUGUUAGGGGCAGCAAAGAAGAGGAGAGGAUGCCAGGCAGAAGAUUCCCCAACUCACAGCCUUGCUUAGCAGCAGGACGCUGCAUAUUGUUAAAACAAAUAUAUUCUUAACAUCGUCCAGCUCUAUUUUAUUUCUGGCUGAUGUGGAAAAUACUAAAGUACUUUAAAAACUUGAACAAGCAGAAUUUGACUUGCUCAGUGUCUUGCUGCAUCAAUGCAGUAACUCUUGCCUCCUCCUUACUCUGGGUGUCUCCAUCCCUGGUGGCAGGCAGCUCACCCACAAUUGUGUCCCCAAGUGGCACCCAGUUGUGCCAUCGUGGACAGCUGGGAGCCCAGCCUGCCGUCCUCCUGCAGUCCCCCCUCCACCAUUCGAACCUUCUGACUUAGGUUCCUCAAUGUGCCUAUUAUCCAACCUCAUCAAGUCCUCUGUCCCUUGACCGUAGCACGUUUUUCCUGACACUCUGGUCCAUAUCUACAUCCUGUCCUCUCCCUCUUACACCUCACAGGCCAUCCUUUCAACUACCCUUUGGCCAAUACCUUCAAAGGCCUGCUGUCUUCCUUUCAUCACACCUGCCUCCACCUGGGUAAUGAACUCGCUAAAGAGGAAUGCGUGCAGAUUAGCUCCAUUAAAAGAAUGUAUAUUAUCUCCACUAAAAAUGUGUGUCUUCGGUCCCAAAGGGAGGUUUGCUUGGCCGAGUAGUCAGUCCUGCUUCCUGUUUUCCACCGUACGCCCUCCCAAGCUUGUCUACACUUCAAAUCUUUCACCUUAAUGCUCGCCCAUCUCACUGCACCUUCUUCACAAGAAAAAAGGGGGGCGGGGAAAGGCCUCUUAAGGGAACUGUCGAUUUCUUGCCAAACUAUAUCUUUAGCAAUAAGUGUUUUGUUUUUUUUCUUCUGAUUUAUUUUAGGGGAAGAGAUUCUCUUUCUAAUUCUGAUUCUCAUUCUGUCUUGUAUCCCUUCUGAUCCUGUCACGGUUUUCCUGCCAUCUCCUGUAUGUUUAAAUUUCUCCUUCGGCCAUCUCAUUUGUUAAAAAAAUAAUAAUAGUUAAACUUGGCCAAAAAAUCUUCAUGCCUCUUUACGGCUUCCAGAUUUGCCCCGAGAUGUUGCAUGAAGGUAUAUCUGCCCCUAAUAUCUCCACUUUGUCAUUUGCCCCUCACUGAAUAUUCAAACCUCCGCAAAAGGGGCUUGAGUUCUAUCAGUUCAUGAAAAUCACUUUUUUUUUUUUCAACAUUACCAACCCAAAUCCAAUGGUAGCUUCUCAGUUCUUCUGAUCCAUUCUGUUUUCCGUUGAAUUGUGUCCUCCUUUAAGGCCUAAUGCUCGGUGCCCGUGGAUGUGGCCUUAUUUGGAAACAGGGUCUUUGUGGACCUAACCAAGCUUAAACAAGGUUAUCCUGGGUUUAAGAUGGAUCUUAAUCCAAUGACUGCUGUUCUUAAGAGAGAAAUUUGCAGGUAGACAGACAGGGGGAGGAUAUCACGCGAUGAUGAAGGCAAAGUGUGUAGCGGGGUGUCCACAAGGCAAGAAACACCAAUGACUGCCAACCACCCCCAAAACUAGGAGAGGGGCGUGGGGCAGGUGCUCCCUCAGGCCCCCAGGCCUGCAAUGCCUAUUGACACCAGUACACCAACACGCCAAGACUCCAUAUAUUCCAGCUGUUUUUAUUUUUUAUUUUAUUUUAUUUUUUACAUUCCAGCUGUUUUAAGCCACCUAGCGUGUGGUGCUUUGUUAACAGCAGCCUGAGGAAAUGAGUACGAAUCCACAGGUUCGUUGUGACUCUACUACUCCUUCCUGCUCAGGGAGCCUUCCCUGUUGGCUUCUGCGGCACCACAUGCACCCAGUCAUCCUAUUCCUUCUCCCUCCUUGCCCCAGCCUACUCUCCCUCCAUGCAGAAGUGUGAUUUGGGGCGCUCCCCUCUGUCCUCUUCCUUCCUCACCAUCACUAUUCUUUGCAGAUCCCUUGAUCACCUUCCACAAGUGUAUCUACCAUUACAGUAGUAUACAGAAUAGUUCAGCCACCUUAAAAUCCCUUAAAAUCCCUCCCUCCAUCCUAACCACUGGCAAUCACUGAUCUUUUCAGUGUCUCCAUAGUUAGGCCUUUUCCAGAAUGUCAUAUAGAUAAUUAUACAGUAUGUACCUUCUUAGUUUGGUUUCUUUCAUUUAACUAUGUGCAUCUGUUUCCUCCAGGGUCUUUUUUCUUGUGUGUGGUUUGAUGGCUCAUUUCUUUGUUUUAAUAAAUAAUAUUGAAUGGAUGUCACACUCUGUAUUCAUUCACCUGGUAAAGGACAUCUUGAUUGCUUCUAAGUCUUGGCAAUUAUGAAUAAAGUUGUUGUAAACAUUCAUGUAAAGAUUUUUAUGUGGAUAUAAAUAUUCAAGUCAUUUGGGUAAAUACCAUGGAGCAUGAUUGCUGGAUUGUAUAGUAAGAGUAUGUUUAGUUUUGUAAGAAAUUGCCAAACCGGGGGAUCCCUGGGUGGCUCAGCAGUUAAGCGCCUGCCUUCGGCCCAGGGUGUGAUCCUGGAGUCCCGGGAUCAAGUCCCACAUCAGGCUCCUUGCAGGGGAGCCUGCUUCUCCCUCUCCCUGUGUCUCUGCCUCUUUUUCUCUCUGUAUAUGUCUUUCACAAAUAAAUAAAUAAAAUCUUAAAAAAAAAAAGAAAUUGCCAAACCAUCUUCCAAAAUGAGUAUGUUACCUUGCAUUCCCACCAGCAAUGAGCAGAGGUUCUGUUCCCAUUGCUCCACAGAGGUUCCCAUUGCUCCACAUUCUCACAGCGUGGAGUGUUGUCAGUAUUCUGGUUUUGGCCAUUCUCAUAGGUACAUGGGGGUAACUCAUUGCUUUAAUUUGCAACUCACUAAUUUGAUGUUGAGAAUAUUUUCUUUUUUUUAAGAUUUUAUUUAUUUAUUUAUGAGACACACACACACACACACACACACACACACACAGAGGCGGAGACACAGGCAGAGGGAGAAGCAGGCUCCAUGCAGGGAGCCCGACAUGGGACUCGAUCCCAGGUCUCCAGGAUCAAGCCCUGGGCUGAAGGCAGUGCUAAACUUGCUGAGCCACCCGGGCUGCCCAAUUUUCAUAUGCUUAUUUGCCAC
rnacentral:lncRNA from 1 species